rnacentral:rRNA from 1 species
UACGGGGGGAGCAAGCGUUGUUCGGAUUUACUGGGCGUAAAGGGCGCGUAGGCGGCGCAACAAGUCACUUGUGAAAUCUCCGGGCUUAACCCGGAGCGGCCAAGUGAUACUGUCGUGCUAGAGUGCGGAAGGGGCUACUGGAAUUCUCGGUGUAGCGGUGAAAUGCGUAGAUAUCGAGAGGAACACCUGCGGCGAAGGCAGCUCGCUGGGACGUUACUGACGCUGAGACGCGAAAGCGUGGGGAGCAAACAGG